rnacentral:rRNA from 1 species
GACGAACGCUGGCGGCGUGCUUAACACAUGCAAGUCGAACGGAAAGGCCCUGCUUUUGUGGGGUGCUCGAGUGGCGAACGGGUGAGUAACACGUGAGUAACCUGCCCUUGACUUUGGGAUAACUUCAGGAAACUGGGGCUAAUACCGGAUAGGAGCUCCUGCUGCAUGGUGGGGGUUGGAAAGUUUCGGCGGUUGGGGAUGGACUCGCGGCUUAUCAGCUUGUUGGUGGGGUAGUGGCUUACCAAGGCUUUGACGGGUAGCCGGCCUGAGAGGGUGACCGGCCACAUUGGGACUGAGAUACGGCCCAGACUCCUACGGGAGGCAGCAGUGGGGAAUAUUGCACAAUGGGCGGAAGCCUGAUGCAGCAACGCCGCGUGCGGGAUGACGGCCUUCGGGUUGUAAACCGCUUUCGCCUGUGACGAAGCGUGAGUGACGGUAAUGGGUAAAGAAGCACCGGCUAACUACGUGCCAGCAGCCGCGGUGAUACGUAGGGUGCGAGCGUUGUCCGGAUUUAUUGGGCGUAAAGGGCUCGUAGGUGGUUGAUCGCGUCGGAAGUGUAAUCUUGGGGCUUAACCCUGAGCGUGCUUUCGAUACGGGUUGACUUGAGGAAGGUAGGGGAGAAUGGAAUUCCUGGUGGAGCGGUGGAAUGCGCAGAUAUCAGGAGGAACACCAGUGGCGAAGGCGGUUCUCUGGGCCUUUCCUGACGCUGAGGAGCGAAAGCGUGGGGAGCGAACAGGCUUAGAUACCCUGGUAGUCCACGCUGUAAACGGUGGGUACUAGGUGUGGGGUCCAUUCCACGGGUUCCGUGCCGUAGCUAACGCUUUAAGUACCCCGCCUGGGGAGUACGGCCGCAAGGCUAAAACUCAAAGGAAUUGACGGGGCCCCGCACAAGCGGCGGAGCAUGCGGAUUAAUUCGAUGCAACGCGUAGAACCUUACCUGGGUUUGACAUGGAUCGGGAGUGCUCAGAGAUGGGUGUGCCUCUUUUGGGGUCGGUUCACAGGUGGUGCAUGGCUGUCGUCAGCUCGUGCCGUGAGAUGUUGGGUUAAGUCCCGCAACGAGCGCAACCCUUGUUCACUGUUGCCAGCACGUUAUGGUGGGGACUCAGUGGAGACCGCCGGGGUCAACUCGGGGGAAGGUGGGGAUGACGUCAAGUCAUCAUGCCCCUUAUGUCCAGGGCUUCACGCAUGCUACAAUGGCUGGUACAGAGAGUGGCGAGCCUGUGAGGGUGAGCGAAUCUCGGAAAGCCGGUCUCAGUUCGGAUUGGGGUCUGCAACUCGACCUCAUGAAGUCGGAGUCGCUAGUAAUCGCAGAUCAGCAACGCUGCGGUGAAUACGUUCCCGGG